UACGUAGGGUGCAAGCGUUGUCCGGAAUUAUUGGGCGUAAAGAGCUCGUAGGCGGUUUGUCGCGUCUGCUGUGAAAACGCAAGGCUCAACCUUGCGCCUGCAGUGGGUACGGGCAGACUGGAGUGUGGUAGGGGAGAUUGGAAUUCCUGGUGUAGCGGUGGAAUGCGCAGAUAUCAGGAGGAACACCGAUGGCGAAGGCAGAUCUCUGGGCCAUUACUGACGCUGAGGAGCGAAAGCGUGGGGAGCGAACAGG
rnacentral:rRNA from 1 species